CACACACACACACACACACACACACACACACACACACACACUACACACAAACUACACACUCAGAUGUGUUGAGAGAGCAUGUACCUCCUCAUCCUCUACUGUCAUGUGAUGGGUCAUGUGAUGGUCUGGUUCCACUGUUCCUCAGGUCUUGAGAAAGAAAGAAAUGAGAGGUAGAAAGAGGAAGAGAGAGGAAAUGAGAGGUAGAAAGAGGAAAUGAGAGGUAGAAAGAGGAAAGGAGAGGUAGAAAGAGGAAGGGAGAGGAAAGGAGAGGUAGAAAGAGGAAGAGAGGAAAGGAGAGGUAGAAAGAGGAAGAGACAGGAAAGGAGAGGUAGAAAGAGGAAGAGAGAGGAAAGGAGAGGUAGAAAGAGGAAGAGAGAGGAAAUGAGAGGUAGAAAGAGGAAGAGACAGGAAAGGAGAGGUAGAAAGAGGAAGAGAGAGGAAAGGAGAGGUAGAAAGAGGAAGAGAGAGGAAAGGAGAGGUAGAAAGAGGAAGAGACAGGAAAGGAGAGGUAGAAAGAGGAAGAGAGAGGAAAGGAGAGGUAGAAAGAGGAAGAGAGGAAAGGAGAGGUAGAAAGAGGAAGAGACAGGAAAGGAGAGGUAGAAAGAGGAAAGGAGAGGUAGAAAGAGGAAGAGACAGGAAAGGAGAGGUAGAAAGAGGAAGAGAGAGGAAAGGAGAGGUAGAAAGAGGAAGAGAGAGGAAAGGAGAGGUAGAAAGAGGAACGGAGAGGUAGAAAGAGGAAAGGAAAGGUAGAAAGAGGAAGAGACAGGAAAGGAGAGGUAGAAAGAGGAAGAGACAGGGAAGGAGAGGUAGAAAGAGGUAGAAAGAGGAAGAGACAGGAAAGUAGAGGUAGAAAGAGGAAGAGACAAGAAAGGAGAGCGUGAGAGACAGAAAAUGAGAACAGGUUCCCCAAGUUUCAACCUGAGAGGCCAUCUCCUGCCUGAAGGCUUCAGCUACGAUUCAACACACACACACUCACAUAGCUGACAUGUCUGAGUGUAAGUGUGUGUGUGUGUGUGUGUG